rnacentral:rRNA from 1 species
AUACGGAGGGGGCUAGCGUUGUUCGGAAUUACUGGGCGUAAAGCGCGUGUAGGCGGAUCGUUAAGUCAGGGGUGAAAGCCCGGGGCUCAACCCCGGAACUGCCCUUGAUACUGGCGAUCUAGAGUCCGGAAGAGGUGGGCGGAGUUCCCGGUGUAGAGGUGAAAUUCGUAGAUAUCGGGAGGAACACCAGUGGCGAAGGCGGCUCACUGGUCCGGCACUGACUCUGAGACGCGAAAGCGUGGGGAGCAAACAGGAUUAGAAACCCUAGUAGUCC